rfam:Schistosoma margrebowiei strain Zambia genome assembly, scaffold: SMRZ_contig0003018
AUCUAGCUGACGAAUCCCAAAUGGGGCGAAACGUUGGUCCUGUAU